GCCGGGCAUGGUCAUGCAUGUCUGUAAUCCCAGCGGCCUGGGAGGCUGAGGCAGGAGGAUCAUGAGUUCAAAGCCAGCCUCAGCAAGGGCGAGGUGCUAAGCAACUCAGUGAGACCUGUCUCUA
rnacentral:sRNA from 1 species